AAAAAUUAGUUAAAUAAAUAACAUUAAAAUGUCAUUUUAAAAUUAUUAUAAGCCUAAUAUUUUUUUA
rnacentral:tRNA from 1 species